GUUUAUUUCUGAAGUGGCUAAGGGAGUUCCCCGGUGGGAGCUCCACCCUGAUCUCAUGGAAUUUCUAAGGUGGCUGCUAGAGGGCCCCACCCUUCUCCCUAAGAGAUUAGUGGGUCACAAUAUGGAGAAUCCUAAGGCUAACAGCGCACACCACCCCCAGGGGGCUCUACUCUUCUCAGAAGGCACCAGUAUUUCUCAAGCUUUGAGUGGAGAUGUCUUAGCCACCAGAACCCAUCUCUGCUCUGAUAAAGAGGAUUAA
rnacentral:lncRNA from 1 species